rnacentral:rRNA from 1 species
UACGUAGGGUGCAAGCGUUGUCCGGAAUUACUGGGCGUAAAGAGUUCGUAGGCGGUUUGUCACGUCGUUUUGUGAAAAACUCACAGCUCAACUGUGAGCCUGCAGGCGAUACGGGCAGACUUGAGUACUGCAGGGGGAGACUGGAAUUCCUGGUGUAGCGGUGAAAUGCGCAGAUAUCAGGAGGAACACCGGUGGCGAAGGCGGGUCUCUGGGGCAGUAACUGACGCUGAGGAACGAAAAGCGUGGGUAGCGAACAGG